rnacentral:rRNA from 1 species
UGAGCAAUCUGCCCUUCUCAUCGGAAUAAGCGCUGGAAACGACGUCUAAUGCCGAAUACGACCUCCUUUCGCAUGAUCGGAGGUGGAAAGCUCCGGCGGAGAAGGAUGAGCUCGCGGCCUAUCAGCUAGUUGGUGUGGGUAAUGGCCCACCAAGGCGACGACGGGUAGCCGGCCUGAGAGGGUGACCGGCCACACUGGGACUGAGACACGGCCCAGACUCCUAGGAGG